GGCGAGAUGGCCGAGCGGUCUAAGGCGCCAGACUAAGGAUCAGUCAAUGAUCGUUGACAACCCUGAAAAUAAGCUUUUCAUCUGGUCCUCCGGGGCGUGGGUUCGAAUCCCACUCUCGUCA
rnacentral:tRNA from 1 species